rnacentral:rRNA from 1 species
CAGUAGCCACGGUAAUACGUAGGUGGCAAGCGUUGUCCGGAAUUAUUGGGCGUAAAGGGCUCGCAGGCGGUUUCUUAAGUCUGAUGUGAAAGCCCCCGGCUCAACCGGGGAGGGUCAUUGGAAACUGGGAAACUUGAGUGCAGAAGAGGAGAAUGGAAUUCCACGUGUAGCGGUGAAAUGCGUAGAGAUGUGGAGGAACACCAGUGGCGAAGGCGACUCUCUGGUCUGUAACUGACGCUGAGGAGCGAAAGCGUGGGGAGCGAACAGGAUUAGAUACCCCGGUAGUCCCUGUCUCUUAUAC